UCGACCUGAGCUCAGGCAAGAUUACCCGCUGAACUUAAGCAUAUCAAUAAGCGGAGGAAAAGAAACUAACCAGGAUGCCCUUAGUAACGGCGAGCGAACCGGGCAGAGCCCAACUUGAAAAUCUCCAGCCUCCGGCUGGCGAAUUGUAGUCUAGAGAAGUGCUCUCUGCCUCAGUCCGGCCCCAAGUCCCCUGGAAAGGGGCGUCAGAGAGGGUGAGAACCCCGUUGGGACCGGUGCCUGUGGCUCCACGAGACGCUUUCGAAGAGUCGGGUUGUUUGGGAAUGCAGCCCAAAGCAGGUGGUAAAUCCCAUCUAAGGCUAAAUACAGACGGGAGACCGAUAGCGAACAAGUACCGCGAGGGAAAGAUGAAAAGAACUUUGAAAAGAGAGUUAAAAAGUGCUUGAAAUUGUUGAGAGGGAAGCGAUUGGAUCCUACGGGUGCGCCCAGGCACACGCCUGCCUAACGGUUGGCUGAAUGCGCUGGGUGCUGGUCAGCAUGGGUUGGCCGGGCGGGACAAACCCGGGGGUUGUUACCCCGGCUAUGUCGCCUGGCCGACCGAGGAAAGAAGGGCGCUCUCUGAGUCCUCCGGGAACUGC
rnacentral:rRNA from 1 species